UAAAGUUGCAAGCCACAGAAGCACCUUGAGU
rnacentral:piRNA from 1 species